rnacentral:rRNA from 1 species
UACGGGGGGAGCAAGCGUUGUUCGGAUUUACUGGGCGUAAAGGGCGCGUAGGCGGUCAGCACAAGUCAGUUGUGAAAUCUCCGGGCUUAACUCGGAAAGGUCAACUGAUACUGUGCGACUAGAGUGCGGAAGGGGCAACUGGAAUUCUCGGUGUAGCGGUGAAAUGCGUAGAUAUCGAGAGGAACACCUGCGGCGAAGGCGGGUUGCUGGGCCGACACUGACGCUGAUGCGCGAAAGCGUGGGUAGCAAACGGG